rnacentral:lncRNA from 1 species
AAGGAUGAAAAAAAAAAAAAGAAGAAGAAGAAAAGAACCAAUUUAGGUUGAAUGAAAAAUCAUAUUUGUCUCUUAAUGUAUAAAUAGAAGCGACGGUCAAACAAUGUCAAUGGACCUCAAUUUCCAAAAAAUAAAAUAGGACUUAAGGGUGAUUACCUUACCUUAUUAAGAUUUUACAUCGGUGAAAUAUAAAUUAUUUGGUGGUUUAUUAAUUUUUAAAGCAACUUCUUUUUACAAGCUAAUUUUUAAAUUCGUAAAUGUUGAAAAUGAUUUGAUGUAAUUGCCUCUAAAUAUUUUAGGAAUAGAAGUAGGCGGAUGCUUGGAUGGUUGACUAAGGCUCAGGCUCCGUGUUAUUUUCGUGUGACAGUUGUGAUGGCAAUGGAUGCCUAGGCCAUAGACUAAAGCUCCAUUUGAUAUUAUUGUUGGACAGUAGAAUAAGUGCCUGUUUGGUAUAGUUUAUUUAAGAGUCAUAAGUACUUAUUUAAUCGCAUAAGUACUUUUUAAAAAUUUUUAUGGUGUUUGGUUAUUUUUUUAGUAGAGUUUUUUUUAGCUUAAAUAAGCUAAUUUAUCUCUAUUAGCAAAAGCCCAAAUUUUGAGCUUUUGGGAGUAGAGGUUGGAGAGCUUUUCUAAAAAAUAUAUAAUAUAAAAAAUAUCACACAUUUUAAUGG